GUGACCACUUUGGCAGCACAUAUACUAAAAUUAAAAUGAUAGAUGAUUUGCAUAGCUCCUGUGAGUGGAUAACAUGCAAAUUUGUAAAGCAUUCCAUAUUUUU
ensembl:snRNA U6 U6 spliceosomal RNA